GCUCGGGUGGCGGAAUUGGUAGACGCGCAGGAUUCAGGAUCCUGUGGGGGUAACCCCGUGAGGGUUCGAGUCCCUCCUCGAGCA
rnacentral:tRNA from 1 species